UACGUAGGGGACAAGCGUUAUCCGGAUUUACUGGGUGUAAAGGGAGCGUAGACGGCUGUGCAAGUCUGAAGUGAAAGGCAUGGGCUCAACCUGUGGACUGCUUUGGAAACUGUGCAGCUAGAGUGUCGGAGAGGUAAGUGGAAUUCCUAGUGUAGCGGUGAAAUGCGUAGAUAUUAGGAGGAACACCAGUGGCGAAGGCGGCUUACUGGACGAUGACUGACGUUGAGGCUCGAAAGCGUGGGGAGCAAACAGG
rnacentral:rRNA from 1 species